GCCUCCAUGCAGGCAAGGGGGCCGGGCCGGGGGGUCUGCGGGGGCCGGGAAACCCAGCCGACCAGGGAGCGAGGCCUACCUGAGACACUCACAGCAAAGGAAACCGAGGCACGGAGCAGGUACCCCAGGCACCCAGGGCCACCCAGCACAGGUCAGGAACUGAGACGCCAGCCUCCCUCUCACGGUGGCCUGAGUGUCCCCACCCUGCAGCAAGAGGCUUGGACAUCGCUGCUGCUAAGACCUUCCCUCGGGGGGGGUGGUCAGCAGAGCCCCAAUGACCUUUCUCGCUCUCUCUCUUCUUACCGCCCUCAUGUCCCCUCUCCAAAGGGGCUCAGCCAGAAGGACCCCCACCCACCCUGUCUCCAGGAGGUCCCCCAAGAUUGCAUCCAUAGCAAUGCUAGGAAAAUGCCCCCUCACAAGGCCCCACUUACCCACUCUAGAGCUCUCUCCCCUUUCUAGAUCAUAGGCCCAGCAGGACCCUCCUGGUCAGGCAGGUCUUGCCACGAGCCCCAGAUCAGGAGACCAUCGAGCUCUGGGAGGGGCUGGGCUCACCCAUGUCACCCACCUGGGACACAGCCGUGGUAUGUAGUGAGACCUCACAGAUUUCCAAUGACCUCCCCCCCCCAACUGGAAGAGAGAGGCUCUUGGCCAGGCCGUGCCCUGCUGGCACCCACCUUCUGAGAGAAAGAAAGAUAAGGCAGUGAAAACAGUAAUGAUAACGCAUAGCUGUCCGCUAUUGAGCGUGUAAUAACUGCUUUACGUACAGGAUCUCAUUUCAUUGUCAGAAAUCCACCAGGAGGCAGGUAGUAUUGUUAUCACCAUUUUACGGAUAGGGCUCAGAGGAGGCAAGGAGCCUAAAGUCAGCCAGCUAAUAAACGGAUUCAAACCCUGCCACGUCCACGACCAACCGUCUCUAUUCCCUUAACCCCCACACCCAUCCUGCCAGACCAGGUGAAUGAUCCCAAAGUACAGACCAGAAAACCGAGAUUGUGAUGAGGUCACCCAUCCAGAAAGUGGGAAGAGGGAUUCAACCCUGGGCUUCUAGCCCCCAGAGUCCCAGUCUCAUUUCCUUCCUUCCCUCACCCCCACCACAAUCAAGUUCCCUAAAUGUCCUUCAACUCCAUCUGUACCAGCAGCCCCUCGACCUCACCUCCCAUCAGGACAGAUGCAAUAGCUCCCCCACACCCAUUCUCACUGGCUGGACCCAACACAUAUCAGAUGAUCAUGAAAAUCCAGAAAGAGAAUCCCUGGGGGAAUAAGCUAACUAUCCAUGCACAGGAGCUAGGAGGAGAGCACUGCAGUUUGUUUACACGACAGACCCUCCGCUGAGAACAAAUCGAUGCAUUCGAGCUGCUAUACCACCGGGCGCAGAUCUCCAGAACAGAACUUUGAGUGGAAAAAAAGGCGAAUUGCAGAAGUGAAUGUACAAGUGACGCCAUCUGUACAAUCACACCCACCACCGAAGCAGGGCCCCCGAACCUCAGGGAAGUGUGUGUGUGUGUGUGUGUGUGUGUGUGUGUGUGUAAAAGUAUAAAGAUGUGGCACAACCACUUUGGGAAACUGGCCACAGCUAUCAAAACUAAAUAUGCACAUAUCCCAUCAUCUUGCAAUUCCCUUCUUGAACACAAACUAACAGAAAUGUGUUCUUAUGCCCAUGAGAGACGCGCACGAGAAGGUUCACAGCAACACUAUUCAAAAUGCUGGUAACUGGAAGGCAUGUCCCUCUCCAUAGACAGUAGGGUGACUAAACGAACUGUGGUCUGUGUAAAGAGCGGACUACGACAUAGUCGGGGAAAGGAAACGAACCCCUGACGCAAAACACGGAGCCCUCUCAUUGGCACAAUAUUGAGUGAAAGUGCCAGAUACCGAACAGGACAUAUGGAUGAUUCCACGUAUCUGAAGUUCAAGAACAGCAAGACCCAGUGCUAGAAUCGGUCAAUGACGGGAUGCAGGUGGUGAUCCCAUGAGCUAUCAAACUGUGGUCCCGCAGCGAGGACAUGACAGAGAUGAAGGGACUCUGUGGCCAGCUGGGGCCAGCAUCUCUGCUCUCCAGGCCCAAGGCUCCACUGGGUCCAAAGAAAUUGGAAAGAGAGGCAACCACAGGGCAAGCUGUCCAUCCUGGCAGGCCCUCACCACAGCCACCGUGCACAGGAUGAAAGGGUCCCACACCUCGCUGAAAAAGUACAUUUUUCGCUGUUAAUAUUUCUGAGCUGGUGUAAUGGUAUGGCUUUGCCCCCAUGGUACUGUUAAUUUUUAGCUUGCAUUUUCCUCUUUGUAUUCUAGUUUCAUUUUUCCAGGCUUGUGGCAUUUCACAGACACUUUAAAGCUCAUAUGGCCGCAUAAGAGAGAGAAAAACAGAGAGUCAGAGACCACAAGAGACAGGGAGACAGAGUCCAAAACAGAAGGAGAGACAGAUGGGGACAGGGGGACAGAGAGACGGGGGAGUGGUGAUGGCGGAGACGGAGGGAUCUGACUCCUACAUCUUACCUAACGUGCACCCCUCUGGAAGAAUGACUUUAGCAUUUAGUGAGCACUUACUAUACUGAACACCCCGUGUGAGGGAGCACCUAUGAUUCUCACAAGCUCCCCAUAAGGUGAGUGCUAUUCUCGUUCUUAUUUAAAGACAAGGACACUGAGGCAGAGAGGUCACCCGGCUCGGCCCCAGUCAUAUAGUCAGUGGGUGGGGAAGCCAGGUUUGGCCCCAGAUCUGCCCCAGAGCCAAGGCUAACCCAUUUCCUUCCAGAACAGGUCUUGGGGUCUCUGGGUUUGUUUUUGGGCAAGUCUCAAAAUUACCUGUGCCAGCCAAACAGAGGUCCUGACCCAACAGGGCUGGGAUGAGGCCCGAGACACUGCACUUCUAACAGCCCCUCAGGUUGGCCCCAAGUUGAAGAUCCUAGAUCACACUCCACUAACAGAGUUUAGCGGAGUCUGUUCCUAUGAGGAUCCCACCGGCAGCCACUCCAACCAUCACCAUACCCACAGGCCGGCCCCUUUUGGUUUAAAUUUCUCAACACUUCUGUGGGUCUGUCCCCAGAUUCCCAGGAAUCCCUCCCCACCAAGCAGCCUUCUCCUGCACACAAAGACAGCUGCACAAAGAUGUUCACUGUGGCAUUGUUUACAGGAAAGACAAAUCGGAACCACCUAAAUGUCCACCAAGAGAGGACAGUGACAUACCCUGCGAUCCAUGUAGCCAUGACUAAUGAUGGCAGAGCAAAGCUCAAAAUACACAUGACAUCUGAUCCAGCAGUUCCACUUCUAGGAAUAUAUGCUACGGACUUGCACAUGGACACAAAGACAUUUGCACAAGGCUAACUGUUGCAAUUUCUAGUGGCGAAAGCCGGCAAGCACCUUGAUGGCCAACAAUGAGAACUGGGUCAUUAAAUCCUGAUCCACUUCCCCAAGGGACGACUUCUAAAGAAAAGAAGGGCAUUCCUUAUGCCCUGACGUGGACCAUCGCCAAGAUCUACUGUGAAGUGAAAAAACAAGGCACAUAAACAGAGUGUACCGUCUUCUACUAUCUGUAGGAAUGGAAAAAAAGAAAGAAAAUCUAUGCUUCUGUUUGUCUAUGCAUAGAACCCUUCUGGAAAGCCAAACAAAACGUCCUACGAGGAACUGAGCAAAGGGAGGCAGGAGGAAGACAGACUUUUAACUGUAUGCUUCUUGUACCUGUGUAUUUGGUGCCAGGUGAAGGUGUUAUCUGCGGACAAAUAGUAAUAGAAGUUAAAAAUUUGUUAAAUGA